rnacentral:rRNA from 1 species
UACGUAGGGGGCUAGCGUUGUCCGGAUUUAUUGGGCGUAAAGAGCGUGUAGGCGGCCAGGUAGGUCUGGUGUGAAAACUGGAGGCUCAACCUUCAGACGUCGACGGAAACCGUCUGGCUAGAGUCCGGAAGAGGAGAGUGGAAUUCCUGGUGUAGCGGUGAAAUGCGCAGAUAUCAGGAAGAACACCGAUGGCGAAGGCAGCUCUCUGGGACGGUACUGACGCUGAGACGCGAAAGCGUGGGGAGCGAACAGG